CACGUAGGGGGCGAGCGUUGUCCGGAUUUAUUGGGCGUAAAGAGCUCGUAGGCGGCUCGGUAAGUCGGGUGUGAAACCUCCAGGCUCAACCUGGAGACGCCACCUGAUACUGCUGUGGCUAGAGUCCGGUAGGGGAGUGUGGAACUCCUGGUGUAGCGGUGAAAUGCGCAGAUAUCAGGAGGAACACCGGUGGCGAAGGCGGAUCUCUGGGCCAUUACUGACGCUGAGGAGCGAAAGCGUGGGGAGCGAACAGG
rnacentral:rRNA from 1 species